CCACCUUCUCUAGCCCAUCUUUAAUCCAAAAUGAUGGCUCAGUUCAUCCGUAAGAGUUUCUUCCUGCCUUCCCGCGUCUCCUCCACUUCAGUUCCGAUGGAAUAUUCACAUUCCACCUGGGCCUCCCAUUCAGACUACUGAAGCUCAUUGGCCCCUGUGGUCCUUCCUGGGGUCGGUCACACGACGAUACAAUGGAGACAUUAAUCUUCUUCCUCAAGAGGUUGAGAAGGGUCAGACAAAGUGAUGGCUUCACUGGGUGGACACCCGGCCCGCGCCUGCCCUGUUUGUUUUUCCUCCGUCCCCUCGGUCAGGAAGAAGCUGUGAGAGAGGGAUGUUUCCCGGGGAGAGGGGCAGGUACAAGGGCUUACAAGCGCUGAGGUAAAUGGGAAGGGGGGCUGGGGUUUCAGGUUGCCUUCCCCCAGGGCCAGGUCACCCUGAUAACCCCGGAGGAAUUCUGUGGCCUAGGGGGUGGCAAGAUAGAACGGCAAAUCCAUUGCUGUGCUAAAGUAAAACUCUGCAGACUUCAAUUUGGGGGCACUGAUGGAUAGGACGUGGCUUCUUUGAAGCUGAGCCUGGACCAGUCACUCUCCAGGAGAUGCCUCUUUUGCUUCUUCUCCUUCUAAAUGCAUCCUAGCAUCCCCAAGAGGAGGGGGGAGGAGGGACUCCAGAGGAAGCAAUGGAAAAGAUCUAAGCCCUGAGUAUUGUCCCCAUAUUGAAAGGGUCCUUAAAGGGGCAGAUGAGGGGGCAAGGGGCUCUGGCUACCAUUGGUACAGGCAGGUCCUAGGGUCCUACUUGUGGCUGGGGGUCAGCUGAUGAAAACACAUAUCCUUCUUCUCACCAAGGCUGGUGCGCCAAGGAUCCUCCUCCCCAUCACCGCCCUUCCCUUAGAGAGCCUGCUGAGGCUGGAAUGAAAAGAAUCUGAACUACAAACAGACCUCUUGGCUGCCUCCCCAACUCUUCUCCAGCCUCUCCAAGGCUGCAGGCUUCCAGGCAAGGCUGAAAGGGGGCCUAGGUGGGAAGACCCCACACAGAGACCCCAGAGAAAUGGGUGCGGAAGUAAGAUGAGGGGAGAGAGACACUACACAAGCAUAUUUUUUUAAAUAGGGUCUCACUCUAAGUUCCAGUUAGCCUGGAACUUAACCACAUAGUCCAGGCUGGCCUCCAAUUCUUGGCAAUCCUCCUGCCUCGGCUUUCUCAAGUUCUGGAAUUAUAGAUGUGAGCCAGUACUUACGGCUUGGAAAAAAAAAAUCAUACUUUCCAAGCCAAAAAUCAAAACCUUUACAAGUCGAUUUGCUGGAGUCAUGGCAUUAGGGAUUUGAAACCAAGCUCACUCUAGAAUGAGCCAGGCUGCGGAAGUCUCCAUCCAACCCAGGGUUGACCUGUGCCCCCAGCCCUUGUCUCCUCUCUGCUUGGCUCUGUUCUCUCAAGGGCUGAGCUCUCCUGGUGCUAGCCAGGCAGCAUUACAGCCCGAGAACGCUCUGGAUAGCCUGGAAGACUCGGGAAACACGGAGAGUGGUCCCUAAAAGGACAGGAGGCACAGAGCCAAAGGCCACUCCUGCCCACCACACUUCCCCAGAGCCCAGCAUCCUGCCCUCUGGAGCCUCCUCCCUAAGCUACCUGAACAAUGUGGAACUUCGGUGUGAUUUAGCCAGGACUGUACAUGCCGUGAGAUACCCAGGCAGUGUCCUAGAAGGGUGACCUCGGGAGAGGACCAGGGAACAAGAGAGAAGAAGCUUCCAGCCAGGAGCAGGAAAUUGCCUGAGGCAAGAUGACCUCUUUCCAAGGGCAGCUCUCUCCAGCUUGUCUAACACAGCUCCUGCCAAGGGUGGUAUAGAAAGGCACCGAGCCCACAGCAGGCUGGGGAAGGACAUUGAAAAGGCAGCUUAAGGGCUUCCUGCUGGGUGAGAUGGAUUAGGGGCCUGUGGGGAGUGAGUCCAGCAGCAGAAAGGCACUGGCCCCAUGCCAGAGUCCCUUGGCCAAAGACACUCUGAGACCAAGAGUCCCUGGGUAUCUGGCAGGCUGGAAGUCAGCAUCUUCCACCUGGCUGAGUGGCCCAGACAGAGUGACAUAUGGUGAUAAGGAGAGAGGCCACAGAGCACGAAAACUGAGGAAGGAAAGGGGCCCUGCUUGUGGGAAGCAGCGGACAUUUCACAGGAAAAACAAAUGACUUCGCCAGUGAUUUUAUCCAUGUCUCCCUGAGACCUUGAACUAUCUUUGUCCUUCAGGGCUGGUUCACUCCUGGGCUUUGUUUCUCUAGUCUGUAAAAUGGGAGCUCUGAGGCAACACUGGCAGUGGGAUAAGUAGGGGAAUCCUGUUUUGUCUUAUCUAUCAUCUGUCUAUCUAUCUAUCUAUUUAUCUAUCUAUCUAUUGGUUUUUCCAGACAGGGUUUCUCUGUGUAGCCCUGGCAGGCCUGGAACUCACAGAGAUCCUCCUCCCCCUACCUCCUGAGUACUGGACCACUAUGCCCAAGACUUUAAAAGUGCAUGGCCCAGGGCUCUAACAAGGAGCCUGAGGCAGGAGAAUCACAAGUUAGAGGUUACAUAGUGAUAUCCUAACUCAGAACAAAAAUCAAUCUGUCAAAGAUAGGUGAUGUGGUGCAUGCCUUUAAUCCCAGCAUUCAGGAGGCAAAGGCAGGCGGCCUCAUCACCGUGAGUUUGAGGCCACCCAGAGCCACAGAGUGAGACUCUGUUUCGAAAAACAAAAAAACAAAGUAAAAAAAAAAAAUCAAUCCAUCAGUCAUAUUGAAGGCUAUGUGGCUCCAGGGACCAGAAGCAUCAUUAUCGUGUUUUGUUUUGUUUGUGUUUGUGAUUUUGUUUUUGUUUCUGUUUUUUGGAGACAGGGUUUCUCCGUGUAAUUUUGGUGCCUGUCCUGGAUCUCGACUCUGUAGACCAGGCUGGCCUCGAACUCACAGAGAUCCGCCUGGCUCUGCCUCCCAAGUGCUGGGAUCAAAGGCGGCGGCCACCACCGCCCGGCUGUGAUUAUUCCUUUGAGGCUAGAGUCUUACUAAGUUGCCUGCCCAGGUAGGCUUCUACCUGCUGGGUCAAGCGACCCUCUGGCCCCAUUCCUCCUAAUAUCUGGAACUAUGUGCAAGCAGCUCGAGUCCUGUGUUUAGAGCAAAGACAUCUCCUCCGACAGCUGGAAGCAGGCUAACAUCCUCACGUCCCCACCCCACCUCACGGGACAAACCAGCGGGUGAGAAAGUUUCACCCAGCUAAGAUGUGGGCAGCCACUGAGGAGAUCCUUUGGGGGGGAGAAGAGGCUUCAGUGCUGGACACUCCAAGCUCAGGAUGUGCCGGCAUCGGCGCGGCCCUGUCUCCCAACUCACUGGGUCAGUCCCUUUCUUUGUGCUCAGUUCUUUCCCACAGCCCAGCAAGGGGGGUGCUAGGAUCCCAGGCCCACCCCCUCCUGCUGGGCAGCACCCCAUCAACCCCCACAUAAAAAGCUUGAGAGGGGACCGGGAGGUGGGGACGUUCUCACUCCGAGGAGGCCUCGGCACCCUUCUCUCUUUCUGGGGAACAAGAAACUUGCCAAAGGCCUGGGCCCCUUCCUCAUCCCCUGGCCCCAGCGCUGGCUCCCCCAGACAAAAAGCUGCUUUACAUGAGAAGAGCGGGCUGGCCUGGCCUUACCCGGGCACUCAAAGAGGCGGUAGCCCCUGACAGCCGGGGCUGCCCCUUCCCCCACAACGAGGCCUCGUUUAGUUGCAAUUAGCAAUUCUUUGCAUACGCCCCUCGAGGCUGGAGGGACGCGGGUCCUCACCCCCGAAAGUCAGCCUUCCACCUUCCUGGAGUCUGCCCGCUCCUCUUUCUCCACGGAGCCUCUCUUCACCGCCCUGUCCCAGCUGGGCACCGGGCUUCCUAGGAGUUCUCCAUAGAAGGAAGCCCAGCCGAGGAGCGAAACGGAGAACUCUGAGGCUGGGGGUGGGGUGGGGCAGAGGAGGAGGCUGGGGUUGCUCAAGCUGGAGGACCCAUCACAAACCCGCCCUGCCGCGACCCUCCUCCCUUCCUAAGCCAUCCCCUCUCCAAAUCAAGCCUGACUUUUGGAUGGCAUAGAAGAAGGACCAAAGGAAAAGAGGGGGAGCCUUCGGUACGGUGGAAACUUUGCAGGCCUGGAGGAGGACGCCUAAUAGCCACAAGGGUUUUACUUUUCUCCUGGGACAGAAAUCAAAUGUCCUGCUGGGAAAGGAGAUACCAUCUUGAUCUCUGUGAGGAAUGGAGCAAGGUAGCAACACUCGGUGCUCCUGUUGGGUGAUAAACGGGUGUGUCAAGGCAGAGGGAGGAGGGCACUAAGCCUCCCUGAGGUCACCUCCACCUCCAGUACAGCAUCGGGAGAAGUCAGGUUCCUGGUUGAGGCGGCCUGUGAGCAUCUUCCAAAGGGUUUUUAGAAUUUAUAACAAGAAUAGGAGUAGUGUAACACGAAUUUCUAAAGGUCUUACCAUAAAAAAAAACCUGGAGCCUGAUACCGGGGUGAUAGCUGAAAGAUCAAAGAAGCAGCCACAAGUCACAGCCACCACCUCUUACCUCACCAGCUGAAAGAGCCGCUAUCUCAAAGGGACACUUCUGCUGAAAAGCCUUUAGUUCCUGUCUCUUCAGGCCUUAUAAACUUUUCUUUGCCCAGCCAUUACUUCCUGGGAUUAUAGGUGUGUGCUUCCCAGUCCUGGGUUUAAAGGUGUGAGCCUGGCUCUGUUUUCUCUCCUAGACUGAGUCAAUCUCAUGUUGUCCAGGGUGGCUUUGAACUCAGAGAUCCAAACAAAUCUCUGCCACCGAGUGCUAGGAUUAAAGGUGUGUGCCACCACUGCCUGGCCUCUGUGUUUAAUCUAGUGGCUUGUUCUGUUUUCUGAUCUUCAGAUAAAUUUUAUUAGGGUACACAAUAUAUCACCCCAUUUCCCUUUUUUUUUGUCUAAAAUAGUAAAAGAAGGUUAUAACUAAUAUAAGAAAAACAAUAUACAAUAAGUACAAUAAGUAUAUAUAAUAUAUACAGUCAAGAAUUACAUUAACAAUGUCCAGUCCAUUAGCAUUUGACAAAUUCAGAGAAAAGACUCCAUUAUUUAUCCUAUUUUGGUGAAUCCAAAGUGUAGUACCUAAUUCACUUCUUUUUUUUUUUUCUUUUUUUUCAGAGCUGAGGACCAAACCCAGGUCCUUGCGCUCUACCACUGAGCUAAAUCCCCAACUCCCCUAAUUCACUUUCUAUCCUAACUUGUAUUACCAACCAAAAACUAUCUUUUGAUGUCUUUCAAACUUAUACACUUUACAUCUCUUUAGGGAGUUUCUGUUCUGAGUUUGUUAACAAGGAAAACUAUAACUAUCUAGCCUUCAACUCUAUCAGAGACCCAAGAAGGAAAUAAUAUUACCUAAGUAAGCAGGAAGUGCAAAUAAGCAACUUCUGAAAAAUGUGAGAAAUGACAGAAACAGCUGGCUGCCUGGACAGUCACCCAAGGUUCCUCUGCAAUGUUGGGGCAUCCAUCUUCAGCCAACAGGCCUAGCAUAUCUGACAGACUUUUCUGUGAAGCAGGAUUUUCUGAAUGGCUGUCCUAUCUUGUCUUGGCAAGGUUUGGCAGACCUUUCUUUUGUGUCCUGCUUGUCCAUUUUGGACAGCAUACUGUCGGCAGUCAAGGCAAGGGCACUUUCUUGCCCAGUGGCUAACUUUUGCCACAAAGAAAGUAAACUCCAUAUGGAUGAUGCCCAUCAUCUUCUCUGAAGUAGAUUGGUGCUGCCAGAAGCAGACAUGUCUCAUAGUCAUAAAAAGAAGAAGAAGAAGAAAAAGAAGAAGAAGAAGAAAAAGAAGAAGAAGAAGAAGAAGAAGAAAAAUCUAUGUUAUUAAAACAUCUUAAAUGCCAUAUUCUGUAGAUCUCUGAAGUGUUUGAAGAUGACAUGUUUAUCUAAAAUAUAUCUGUUUGACCUUGAAAACAUACUUAAUAUGACUACAAGUUCGAUUGUAAUAGGUGAACAACUACUAACCUUCAUUUCUUUAUUAUCCUAAUUAGUUGGUAAUAACUUUCAAGGACUAGAAAAUUGCAUUACAUUGUUAAAUGAGCUGUAUAGGUACAAUACCUUGAACAAGUUUAGAAAUGUAUGUACAGAAUGUUCUAACAAAAUUUAUCUCACAUUUGUAUCAAUAUACAAAAUUUGUAUACAGCAUACAAAAUUCCAAUCCAA